rnacentral:misc_RNA from 1 species
GAUGAAGAACGUAGCGAAAUGCGAUAAGUAGUGUGAAUUGCAGAAUUCAGUGAAUCAUCGAAUCUUUGAACGCACAUUGCGCCCCUUGGUAUUCCAUGGGGCAUGCCUGUUCGAGCGUCAUUUGUACCUUCAAGCUCUGCUUGGUGUUGGGUGUUUGUCUCGCCUCUGCGUGUAGACUCGCCUUAAAACAAUUGGCAGCCGGCGUAUUGAUUUCGGAGCGCAGUACAUCUCGCGCUUUGCACUCAUAACGACGACGUCCAAAAGUACAUUUUUACACUCUUGACCGCGGAUCAGGUAGGGAUACCCGCUGAACUUAAGAAUAUCAAUAAGCGGAGGA